rnacentral:SRP_RNA from 1 species
GGAAGGCUGGGACGGACGAGCUCCUCGCCAAUCCGGUCAGGUCCGGAAGGAAGCAGCCGUAACGAGUUUCGGUUCGGGUCGCUCCCAGUCUUCCACC